rnacentral:sRNA from 1 species
GUGAUAAAUACCAUUUGCUGGCACGGGUUCCUAGGACAGAGCUGGCCACAGGAGUCGAGGUCCCCAGGACGUGAGGACCCCUUACAAAGCAGGCAUUUAUGAACUGGUUUGCUCUCCACUAAUUAAUUCCCCAGCCAUUCACCAACAGUAACAAUCCCUUCAAUUAGAGGCCGGGGCCCUGGAAAGCCCUGGUGUUUAUUGGAACUGACAUCUGCAUGGCCAAGUGUGACUGUGCUAAUACGGAAAUGCACAAAGGGAGCCAGAGUCCUCCCCCCAACUCCUGUAACUUUUAAGCAAGGAUUUGGCUCUUUAAGGAGUUUUUAAUUUGUGGCUUUGCACUUUGGUGGUUAGCUUGUCAGCGCGUUGCAUCUGCUUCUCCUCCGUGGGCUCUGAUGUUGCCCUGUUCUGGGUUCUGUCAUGAGCUCAUGAAAGGGACCUCAGACACCCUAGGGACAGAGCCUCAGGAACUAGAGUUAAAGUCUCCUGUGAGCUGCCAUGUAGGUGCUGGUAACCAAGUGUGUGUCCUCUUUGCGAGCAGAAAGUGCUUGACAGCUGAGCGGUCUCUUCAGCCCUGGCUGUUGUUGUUGUUGUUGCUGUUGGCGAUUUGUUUGUUUCCUGGUAUUUUUAGGAAGUUGACUCUCACAAUUACCCUAUCCUGGGUAGACACCAGGCUAGAUGGUACCAGACUGAUUAAAGGAGUACACUCUUGACCACUGGGAAAGAGGAUUAAACAUGAGCAAAUUCACAGAUCUCUCUGCAAGGCAAGAUUAAGACAGGCUGGUGCUAAGAGGAAGCCAGGGAUAAGAGGGCAGGGAUCCAGGGGAGAUGCAGGCAGCUGGCUUGGGCCAGCUUUGUGGAAACCUUGGCUUCCACAGGCAUUCACUAGGGGUCCAGAAAGCCAGUCUGGACACAGAAAGGGACCGGGUCAUCUGAGGGCACACACUCUGAGGUGAGGGAGGAACUCACUGUGAGGCAGAGCAUAGAUUUGUCCUAUGUAAGAGGAUAGAGCUGAUCAUUUAAGGCUUGGCUGACCAGAGCAUUGAAUCUGCAAUAAUUUAGGCAGAUGGAGACCAGUGGGAUGUGGAAGUUACCUCAGGAGAAGCAGCUCGAGUAGAUUAGGCUGGAUGGCACGCGUCAGGGAGUGUGGCAACCCCGCGAGAAACUGGCAUCAAACUGCUGCUGCUGCUGCUCCAAGCUGGCAGUGAGGCUCAGCUGGGCACAGGGGACCGGGAGGCAGAAGCAAGAAGCCCAACUUGAAGAGCCAUUGCUUUGUUUGUAUUUCCAGUCACAUUUCUGUCUCAACUUACAUCAUCGUCGUCGUCGUCGUCGUCAUCAUCAUCAUCAUCACUACUGUAAUUAGUCGGGCCCUAUCCAAUCAAAAGCUGCAGCAUCACCUCUGUUAGUGGUAUAGGUUAUGGGCACAAACCGAGAGUUUGGUUCUCUGGAUGUCAAAGAAGGGAAGGCUCUGGAAGUUUCUGCCAAAGGCAGUGUCAGGGCAAGUAGACAUCAGUAGCAGAGAGGUGAAUCCUGUAAGCGUUUGUCUCUUCCCUGGAACCCUCAGUGCUGCAGGACCCAGAGCAUGAUCUGCCCGCUCUGAGCCUAGUGUGGGGGGUCCCCAUUCUGCGACAAUUAAAUUCCCUACCUGAAUCCCCUUUUGUUUCUGCACAGACACCUUCUGCCAUAUGUAGCAGGCUGUCUUAGUUAGGGUUCUUUUGCUGGGAAGAGACACCAUGGCCAUAGCAACUCUUCUAAAGAAAGAACAUUUAAUUGGGACUGGCUAACAGUUUCGGGAGUUUAGUCCAUUUUUGUCAUGGUGGGGAGCAUGGUGGUUCACAGGCAGACAUGGUGCUAGAGAGGUAGAUGAGACUUCUCCAUCUUGAUCUGCAGGCAGCAAGAAGAGAAUCGGCUUGAGUUUCUGAGACCCCAAAGCUUACCUGCUAGGGAUGCACGUCCUCCAAAAAAGCCACACCUAGUCCAACAAGGGCACACCUCCUAACAGUGCCAUUCCCUAUGGGUCAAAUCACCAUACAGGCUCUCUUGGUAAAUACUCGUAGAGUCAAGGCAGGAUUCCCUUCUAAUGGAAUUUGACAGUCUCUCUGGGAGCUUAAGUCAUACAUUUGCAAGAAUGUGCAGAUGAAGGUAUAACUCGGUGAAAAUGACUUGAACAGGAAAUUAAGUUAGGGAAUCCGGAGCUCAUCGUGAAGAAUGUACUGGGGCUCCUAAUCAAACAAACCCCGAGUCUGGUAUAAGGUGAUGACAGAGGUACCCAAGGCCAACGUACAGGAAACGCAAGGGCGUAAUGCAAACCGAGUUGGGUGGCCAGGUGGGCAACUCCUUGUUUAUUAUCAGAGAAGCCGUCACCAUAUCAGCUACUAAGGCUAAUCUAACCUGUUACGAGUCCACCUCACAGGAAGCCAAGCAGGACAGACUGUGUUCAGACAGACAGACGCUAUGCCAGGGUUCCCCUUCAUCCUCUUCCAUUUCCACUCAGACUUUGUGAAGACUUCGUACUGUUAUUAAGAUAAUUUUCAUCCUUCCCUCCUCCCUUCUCUGUUUUUAAAAAGAGGGGCUCUCAAUGUUUAAAAUAGGAUAGAUAUUUCCAUACCGCUGAUACCACAUUCAUGUUAAUUCAAGUAAUUUCAUGGAGGCAUCCCAGGACUAGAGAUGUGCUUAGUUAGGGACAGCACCACUAAUCUGUGCUGUACAGGAUUUCAAUCUGAUGGCAAGUGCUUUCACUGAUUCCUGCCCCUGCGUCAUGUCACCUCCCCCUUCUCCCCCACUGCCCAGCUGAGCAAGGCGCACCGUGAACGCGUGAGCAGCUGAGCGUCUUUUUGAGGUAGCUGUUAGGGUUUUUCCCACUAUUUCUCUUCUCAGCAGAGAAGGAAACAGAGCCUGAGUGUCUCAAAGGCUUUCUCGGUUGGAGUUUCAAGAGACAGAGUUGGAAAAGAACUAUUGUCUCUUUCCUCACAACAAAAAAACCAAACAAACAAAACCAAAAAAAAAAAAAAAUCUUAA